rnacentral:tRNA from 7 species
GCCAAUGUAGCUCAGUCGGUAGAGCAGCUGUUUCGUAAACAGCCGGUCGCCGGUUCGAGUCCGGCCAUUGGCUCCA